rnacentral:rRNA from 1 species
AUUGAACGCUGGCGGCAGGCUUAACACAUGCAAGUCGAGCGGGGUGAUGGUGCUUGCACUAUCACUUAGCGUCGGACGGGUGAGUAAUGCUUAGGAAUCUGCCUAUUAGUGGGGGACAACAUCUCGAAAGGGAUGCUAAUACCGCAUACGUCCUACGAGAGAAAGCAGGGGAUCACUUGUGACCUUGCGCUAAUAGAUGAGCCUAAGUCGGAUUAGCUAGUUGGUGGGGUAAAGGCCUACCAAGGCGACGAUCUGUAGCGGGUCUGAGAGGAUGAUCCGCCACACUGGGACUGAGACACGGCCCAGACUCCUACGGGAGGCAGCAGUGGGGAAUAUUGGACAAUGGGGGGAACCCUGAUCCAGCCAUGCCGCGUGUGUGAAGAAGGCCUUAUGGUUGUAAAGCACUUUAAGCAAGGAGGAGGCUCUUUUGGUUAAUACCCAAGAUGAGUGGACGUUGCUCGCAGAAUAAGCACCGGCUAACUCUGUGCCAGCCGCCGCUGUAA